CCCGCUUGUGUCCCUUUGCAUACUGUGGAAGCUUUGUUCUUUUGCUCUUUGCAGUAAAUCUUGCUACUGCUCACUCUUUGGGUCCCCGCUGCUUUUAUGAGCUGUAACAUUCACCGCGAAGAUCUGCAGCUUCACUCCUGAGCCCAGCGAGACCACAAGCCCACCGGGAGAAACGAACAACUCCAGACGUGCUGCCUUAAGAGCUGUAACACUCACCGCAAAGGUCUGCAGCUUCACUCCUGAACCAGCGAGACCACGAACCCACCAGAAGGAAGAAACUCCGAACACAUCUGAACAUCAGAAGGGACAGACUCCAGACGCGCCACCUUAAGAGCUGUAACACUCACCGCGAGGGUCCGCGGCUUCAUUCUUAAAGUCAGUGAGACCAAGAACCUACCAAUUCCGGACACAUAGGUACCAUUAAGAACAUUAAUGAUUCAUGAGAGAAGGUCAAAAUAUCAAAAUUAACAAGAAUUUGCAAGAUGUUAAUUUUAACUCUAAUAAAUGACAUUUACAGAUUCAAGACAUCAGUGGAAAAAUAAACUCCAUGUAAUGGGAAUAGCAAGAAAAAUAGCACUAGAAGUGGACCUUGAAGAUUUGACUGACCUGUGGAAAUCUCAUAGUAAAACCUGAAUGGAAGAAGAGUUGGUUCUUACAGGUAAGCAAAGAAAGCAGAUUCUUGAGAUAGAAUCUCCUUCUGGCAAAGAUGUUGUAAUAUUGUCAAAUGGUAAUAAACGAUUUAGAAUAUUAUAUAAACUUGAUAAAGCAGUGGCAGGUUUGAGAGGAUUGACUCCAAUAUUGAAAAAAGUUCUGUUGUGGAUAAAAUGCUGUCAAACAGCAUCAAAUGCUACAGAGAAAUAUUUCAUGAAAGAGAGAGUCAAUUGCUGCAGCAAAUUUCAUUGCUGUCUUAAUUUAAGAAAUUGCCACCGCCACCCAGCCCUCCAGGAACCACCAUCCUCAUCAGUCAGCAGCCAUCAACUUUGAGGAAAGGUCAUCCACCAGCAAAAAGAUUAUGAUUCACUGGAGGCUCAGAUGACUGUUAGCAUUUUUUAGGAAUAUUUUAAAAUUAAUGUGUAUAUGUUAUUUUUAUAAUUUUAUCACACACUUAACAGACUAUAGCAUAGUGUGAAUAUAACUUUUUUUUUUUGAGGUGGAGUCUUGCUCUGUCGCCCAGGCUGGAGUGCAGUGGCACAAUCUCGGCUCACUACAAGCUCCGCUUCCUGGGUUCACGCCAUUCUCCUGCCUCAGCCUCCUGAGUAGCUGGGACUACAGGCACUCACCACCACUCCCGGCUAAUUUUUUGUAUUUUUAGUAGAGACGGGAUUUCACCAUGUUAGCCAGGAUGGUCUCGAUUUCCUGACCUCGUGAUCCGCCUGCGUCGGACUCCCAAAGUGCUGGGAUUACAGGCUUGAGCCACCGCACCUGGCCGAAUAUAACUUUUAUAUGCACUGAGAAACCAAAAAAUUUGUGUGACUCGCUUUAUUGUGAUAUUUCCUUUAUUGCAGUGGUCUGAAACCAAUCUCACAAUAUCUCCAAGAUAUGCCCAUAUAGGACACCUGCAAUACCUCCAAAAAGUUCCUUCAUACAACUUUGUAGUAAAUUAUCUCACUUUAACGGAAGGCAUUUACAGAAUUACCUUAUGUAACUAUAGAUUUAUUUUGUCUGUCCUAUAAUUUUAUAAAAAUGGGAUGAAUAGAGUAGG
rnacentral:lncRNA from 1 species